rnacentral:SRP_RNA from 1 species
CUGCACUAGUUGGGGAGAUAGCGGUGCCCUGUACCUGCAAUCCGCUACAGCAGGGAUGAAUUCCCGCCCCAGGGCGUGCGUUGUCAUGACUGCCCGGUGUGGGCGGCGUUGACGAGACGGUCCUGCGCAACGAAGACCCGUGAACCAUGUCAGGCGAGGAAUCGAGCAGCAUUAAGCGGAGCACUUCGUGUGCCGCAGGGUCGCCGUCUCUGAGCAAGCCGCACCGGUUCCGGUGAGGGCGUUCCGUUCAAAGGCGGGUGUGCAG